AGCGUGGGUGGGCGGGAGGCGCCACGUCACGGCUAUUGUGGCUGUCCCGGUAUAUAAGGUCCCGCAGGCGCGCCGCGCUCCCCACCUUGCCUGCGCCCGCCCGGAGCCAGCGGUUCUCCACGCAGCCAACAUCCCGAGAGACGCGCCGUACACCGACGGAGGGGACAUGGGCAGAGCGAUGGUGGCCAGGCUGGGGCUGGGGCUGCUGCUUCUGGCACUGCUCCUACCCACACAGAUUUAUUCAAAUCAAACAGCUGUGACAAUUCCAAAUAACUCCUCCCAGAGUACCUUGGUUGCCGCAAAUCCAGCCAAUACCACCAAGGCAGGUGGCAAUGCCCUGCAGUCAACAGCCAGUCUCCUCAUGGUCUCGCUUUCUCUUCUACAUCUCUACUGUUAAGAGACUCAGGCCAAGAAACAUCUGUACUUCCCCAUCUUCUAAAUCCAAUCCAAAUGGCAUCUAGAAGUCCAGUGUGGCAAGGAAAAAACCGGUCUUCAUUGAAUCUACUGAUUCCACACCUCCUUUUAUUAACACAGAAAAUGUCGAGAACCCAAAUCGAUUGGUUUGAAGAACAAGUGAAGGGUUUGACUAGAUGAUGGAUUGCCAGUAUUAAGUCAGCUGGAGUUUCAUGUACAAGAGGAAGAGUGGCAACAUUCAAAAUUAGUAAAAAUGUGAUUUCCCUGAAUGUGGCUUCAGAAAUAUGGACGCUUAAAACUACCUUGAAAAUAAGAAUAGAUUAUAUACCUUUGUCUAGAAAUAAAGGAUAUGAUGUGGAAUGGAGAUUCCGUUUUCAUUUGGUUCAUUAGUUCUAUAAGGCCAUAAAAACAGGUAAUAUAAAAAAGCUUCCAUGAUUCUAUUUAUAUGUACUUUAGAAGGAACUUCCAAUUGUUACUGUAAAUCCUCUGUAUUGUUUCAGCAGUACUAAUUUAAUGCCGAUAUACUCUAGAUGAAAAUUUACAUUGUUAAGCUAUCACUGUUCUUUUGGUAACUGAACACUUUUUUUUUUCUCUGAGGCUUUGGAUUUAACAUUGCAUUUGACCUUUUAUGUAGUAAUUGACAUGUGCCAGAGCAAUAAAGGAUUGGAAUCUCCCCCAAGGCCAAGCAUCAUGAGAAACUCUUGCAUAUCCUUAGAGUCAAGUGGUAGGCAUUUCCUGGCACCCAUUUCCAUUCAACAAGAGCACCAGAUCCUUUUAGCUAAACUGAUUCCAAAGACUAAAUAGAAUUGCAUUGACUUCAACUAAUUACAAAAUGAGUUUUAUUUCUGCAUAUGUUGAAUACUUUUUAUAAUUUAAGGAAUGAUCUGUUUUGAAGGCAAAAUUACAAAUCUGGAAAUUAAAAAGGGCAAAAAAGUGAAGGAGCCAAAAGUGUAAAUCAAGCAUUUGGAAAGUUAAGAUGGGAAGCUAACUUUCAUUAAAUUUGCAAACACUUUUAUACUCUUUCUGUAAAUAUUUUUUUUUAAAAAUAAAAUCAGCGACAACUAUGGGUCAGCAUAGCACAUUUGGAACACUUUUUGUUAUCAGUCAAUAUUUUUAGAUAGUUAGAACCUGGUUCUAAGCCUAAAAGUAGCCUUGAUUCUGCAGUAAAUCUUUUACCACUGCCUCGAUACACAGAAACCUUUUUAAAAAUAGGCACUCCGUGAAGUCUUUUGUUCGCAUGGUCACACACUGAUGCUUAGAUGUUCCAAGUAUCUAAUAUGGCCACAGUAGUCGUGGUGACCGAAGUCAAUUUUUCCAUCUUUAGAAACCUACAUGGGAACAACUAGAUGGGACAGAUCUAAAGCUACUGUGUGUGUGAAUGAACACUCCCCUUGCUUUGUACCUGAAUGCCAUACAACUAUUUUGAAUUGUAUAUUGUGUUUGUGUAUUUAUGCUUUGAUUCAUAGUAACUUCUCAUGUUAUGGAGUUGAUUUGCAUUGAACACAAACUGUAAAUAAAAAUAUGGCUGAAAGAGCAA